GCCUGGGUGGCUGAGUUGGUUAAGCGUCCGACUUCAGCUCAGGUCAUGAUCUCACAGUUUGUGAGUUCGAGCCCCACGUCGGGCU
rnacentral:tRNA from 1 species